AACCCUAGCCUGGCCGGGGGAAAAAAUCUCCAUUGUCUUCAGUGGGAGCUGCCUGGCGUGACGUUACCGCAGUGCCGCUCCGUCAGCACGCAGUGGCAUGCAGCAGGGACAGACCCAGGCGCCGUGCAGUGCAGUGAGCACGCAGCCCCGCCGAGAGCCCACCACGCACAUCUCUGCUUUGCUUCAUCGCUUUGGUCCAAGCUCCUGAGCCAAUGUCUCUGCCCCCAUUCAGCUCCAGGCUUUCCGAAGGAUAGCGCUGUGCAACUUAACAAUUUCACAGUUGCACAGUUGAAGGAGAAGAAGCCAAGGUCCAGAUCCCCAGCACCCAAUUCUCCCAAGGGCCUGGGCCCAUCUGCAGCAAGCAGGGUCACAGGGGAUGGUUUAUAGCAAAAUCUCAUACCUGCAUCCUCCAAAAGCUAAUGCAGUGCCCUGGGGUGCUUGGCCUUUCAGUGCCUGCAGUGAUACUUACACAGAAUGUAUGGGCAGGAGGCUGAGUGCCAACAUCUGCUAUUGGAUCUCAGUUACUGAAGUAUGACUCUGCAAGUUAUUUCAAUAAAUCAACUCUUUGAAAUUUAAUGAGGGAACUG
rnacentral:lncRNA from 1 species